rnacentral:lncRNA from 1 species
AUUUUUUUACCCUAAUCUCUCGCGCAAAAGGGGAGCUAAGGCAAAAAAGAGAUCAGAUCAUAAGACCCUCGUAUCCCUUGGGAGAAAAACGGCGCAACACUCAGGCCCCUCCCUUCUUCUUUCUUCUUCUUCAUUUUUCCAAAGAUACACACAGAUAUCCCCUCAAAAAACGAAAAAGCAGCCUUUCCUUCAUGAUAUCCAAAAUUAGAUACCCUUCCCAUUAGAGACCAGGCGUCGUUUCCUUGAAAAAACAGAGAGAGAACAGAACUCCAUCUCCAACACCUUCAGUUGCCUCAACAGCCGUCUCCCUCGUUUUCUGCUUCGCUUCUGUCGUCGGCGAACUCACCAGAAACAUAAGAGUUGCGGUGCACUCCCCCUUCCAUCUCUCACCUUCUCACGAAUUUUCUAAGUUCAAAAGGGAUUCUCAAAUCUGAAAAUUUCAAAAAAAAAAAAGAAGAAGAAGCUGUGGUUGAAAAAUUAUUGCUGCUCUUUGUUCGGAUCUGCCGGUCUGCUGUCAGAGGUGUGUUUAGCCAUUUUGUUCAGUUUUAUUUGAAUUAUAAUUAAAAAAUGGAUUUGUUGGGUUUUACUUAUGCAGUGCUUCUGUUAGUUUUCAGGAGAAAAUUUUAAUUUCCUUAUGAGCUGACUCUGCCCAAAUCCAUAGACUCGUUAUGUGUAUUUUUGACUUGUAUUCACUUUCUCUGUUAAGUUCUGGAAUUAUUAUUUUAGAUUUGUUCUGAUUUUGGAUUUAACAUGUCUAAGUAUAAAUUUGUCCGAAAUUCUUUUCUUGUUUAAUCUUUGAAAUUAUUGGAAUGUUAAAAUCAGGUAUUUGGUCGGUUGAAACUCAAAACGAGUAACUUGGUAUCUACUUUCUUUUCUUAAAGAUUGUUAUUGCACUUAGGGAGGAUGUUAGCUGAUUUCCACACGGUAGUCAUAUGUUCUUUUGUCAAGUGUUUGAACAAAAAUAGCGUUGAAUGAAAAUGUUCUCUUCUUCAAAGUCGCCC